UAAUUUGAGAGUUUGAUCCUGGCUCAGGACGAACGUUGGCGGCGUGCCUAAUACAUGCAAGUCGAACGAACUCUGGUAUUGAUUGGUGCUUGCAUCAUGAUUUACAUUUGAGUGAGUGGCGAACUGGUGAGUAACACGUGGGAAACCUGCCCAGAAGCGGGGGAUAACACCUGGAAACAGAUGCUAAUACCGCAUAACAACUUGGACCGCAUGGUCCGAGUUUGAAAGAUGGCUUCGGCUAUCACUUUUGGAUGGUCCCGCGGCGUAUUAGCUAGAUGGUGGGGUAACGGCUCACCAUGGCAAUGAUACGUAGCCGACCUGAGAGGGUAAUCGGCCACAUUGGGACUGAGACACGGCCCAAACUCCUACGGGAGGCAGCAGUAGGGAAUCUUCCACAAUGGACGAAAGUCUGAUGGAGCAACGCCGCGUGAGUGAAGAAGGGUUUCGGCUCGUAAAACUCUGUUGUUAAAGAAGAACAUAUCUGAGAGUAACUGUUCAGGUAUUGACGGUAUUUAACCAGAAAGCCACGGCUAACUACGUGCCAGCAGCCGCGGUAAUACGUAGGUGGCAAGCGUUGUCCGGAUUUAUUGGGCGUAAAGCGAGCGCAGGCGGUUUUUUAAGUCUGAUGUGAAAGCCUUCGGCUCAACCGAAGAAGUGCAUCGGAAACUGGGAAACUUGAGUGCAGAAGAGGACAGUGGAACUCCAUGUGUAGCGGUGAAAUGCGUAGAUAUAUGGAAGAACACCAGUGGCGAAGGCGGCUGUCUGGUCUGUAACUGACGCUGAGGCUCGAAAGUAUGGGUAGCAAACAGGAUUAGAUACCCUGGUAGUCCAUACCGUAAACGAUGAAUGCUAAGUGUUGGAGGGUUUCCGCCCUUCAGUGCUGCAGCUAACGCAUUAAGCAUUCCGCCUGGGGAGUACGGCCGCAAGGCUGAAACUCAAAGGAAUUGACGGGGGCCCGCACAAGCGGUGGAGCAUGUGGUUUAAUUCGAAGCUACGCGAAGAACCUUACCAGGUCUUGACAUACUAUGCAAAUCUAAGAGAUUAGACGUUCCCUUCGGGGACAUGGAUACAGGUGGUGCAUGGUUGUCGUCAGCUCGUGUCGUGAGAUGUUGGGUUAAGUCCCGCAACGAGCGCAACCCUUAUUAUCAGUUGCCAGCAUUAAGUUGGGCACUCUGGUGAGACUGCCGGUGACAAACCGGAGGAAGGUGGGGAUGACGUCAAAUCAUCAUGCCCCUUAUGACCUGGGCUACACACGUGCUACAAUGGAUGGUACAACGAGUUGCGAACUCGCGAGAGUAAGCUAAUCUCUUAAAGCCAUUCUCAGUUCGGAUUGUAGGCUGCAACUCGCCUACAUGAAGUCGGAAUCGCUAGUAAUCGCGGAUCAGCAUGCCGCGGUGAAUACGUUCCCGGGCCUUGUACACACCGCCCGUCACACCAUGAGAGUUUGUAACACCCAAAGUCGGUGGGGUAACCUUUUAGGAACCAGCCGCCUAAGGUGGGACAGAUGAUUAGGGUGAAGUCGUAACAAGGUAGCCGUAGGAGAACCUGCGGCUGGAUCACCUCCUUU
rnacentral:rRNA from 1 species